UCGAACGAACCUUCGGGUUAGUGGCGGACGGGUGAGUAACGCGUGGGAAUCUGCCCUCAGGAGGGGGAUAACGGUUGGAAACGGCCGCUAAUACCCCAUAUGCCGAGAGGUGAAAUGAAUUUCGCCUGAGGAUGAGCCCGCGUCUGAUUAGCUAGUUGGUGAGGUAAGAGCUCACCAAGGCAUCGAUCAGUAGCUGGUCUGAGAGGAUGAUCAGCCACACUGGGACUGAGACACGGCCCAGACUCCUACGGGAGGCAGCAGUGGGGAAUUUUCCGCAAUGGGCGAAAGCCUGACGGAGCAACGCCGCGUGAGGGAUGAAGGCCUCUGGGCUGUAAACCUCUUUUAUCAAGGAAGAAGAUCUGACGGUACUUGAUGAAUAAGCCACGGCUAAUUCCGUGCCAGCAGCCGCGGUAAUACGGGAGUGGCAAGCGUUAUCCGGAAUUAUUGGGCGUAAAGCGUCCGCAGGCGGCCCAACAAGUCUGCUGUUAAAAAGUGGAGCUUAACUCCAUCAUGGCAGUGGAAACUGUUGGGCUCGAGUGUGGUAGGGGCAGAGGGAAUUCCCGGUGUAGCGGUGAAAUGCGUAGAUAUCGGGAAGAACACCAGUGGCGAAGGCGCUCCGCUGGGCCAUCACUGACGCUCAUGGACGAAAGCCAGGGGAGCGAAAGGGAUUAGAUACCCCUGUAGUCCUGGCCGUAAACGAUGAACACUAGGUGUCGGGGGAAUCGACCCCUCCGGUGUCGUAGCCAACGCGUUAAGUGUUCCGCCUGGGGAGUACGCACGCAAGUGUGAAACUCAAAGGAAUUGACGGGGGCCCGCACAAGCGGUGGAGUAUGUGGUUUAAUUCGAUGCAACGCGAAGAACCUUACCAGGGUUUGACAUCCUGCGAAUCUCUUGGAAACUUGAGAGUGCCUUCGGGAGCGCAGUGACAGGUGGUGCAUGGCUGUCGUCAGCUCGUGUCGCGAGAUGUUGGGUUAAGUCCCGCAACGAGCGCAACCCACGUCUUUAGUUGCCAGCAUUUAGUUGGGCACUCUAGAGAGACCGCCGGUGAUAAACCGGAAGAAAGGUGUGGAUGACGUCAAGUCAUCAUGCCCCUU
rnacentral:rRNA from 1 species